rnacentral:rRNA from 1 species
AUGAACGCUAGCGGCAGGCCUAACCCAUGCCAGUCGAGGGGGAAGUUACUUUCGGGUGACUGAGACCGGCGUACGGGUGCGUAACGCGUAUACAAUCUGCCUUUCACUGGGGGAUAGCCCGAAGAAAUUUGGAUUAAUACCCCAUAGUAUAUAGGGACGGCAUCGUUUUUAUAUUAAAGCUUAGGUGGUGAAAGAUGAGUAUGCGUUCUAUUAGCUAGUUGGAGAGGUAACGGCUCCCCAAGGCGAUGAUAGAUAGGGGUUCUGAGAGGGAUGUCCCCCACACUGGUACUGAGAUACGGACCAGACUCCUACGGGAGGCAGCAGUGAGGAAUAUUGGACAAUGGUCGGAAGACUGAUCCAGCCAUGCCGCGUGCAGGAUGAAGGUCUUAUGGAUUGUAAACUGCUUUUGUAAGGGAAGAAUAAGGGCUACGCGUAGUUUGAUGACGGUACCUUACGAAUAAGCAUCGGCUAACUCCGUG